UGCUUAACAUGCUUAUUUUGUGGACUGUGUAAGAAACAUUUUUAUUGUUUUUGGUUUUAUUAAGGGAUUAGCUACAGGGGUUCGUGGGGUUAUUUUUUCAUUUGCUUUCUUGGGAUUCCUUUACUGUAAUCCGAGAGUCAUAAAUAUCGAAUAGGAUAGCAAGGAUAGCAUAAAGUGACAUUUAAAAUCCAAAAAGUCGAGGGCGAAAGCCACUGUGACACCAUUGUUAUGCUCUAUCAGUAAUCUGUAUUAUGUAAAACUGGUCUGUAAAUACAGCAUGUUUCCUAGCGGAGUUAUACAUAUCAGCAUAGUUAUAAAUUACAGUUUGUUAAAUCACACACUUUUUUAAAUAAAAUUAUUCACGACAUAUGAGUGGACAGACAAUGGAGGUCGACAGACCUGGUGAGAAUUGCUUCUAUAGAAAGUUAGCACAUGGCAGUGUCAAUCUCUUGCUUUUCUUCUGAGUAGUAUUUUAUUUAGUUGUAAUACAAUCAAUAAUUUGCUUCUUGAAAUUAAGUAAUGAAUUUCUUGUUUUACUGUAUAAAUUUCAGAUCCUGCCUUUACCUGCUCCCUCCUAUACUGAUGUGGUGUAUGUGGUACUGCUGAGCUUGCAUGUGAUCUGAACCAUUGUAAAGGUUGCAGUUCAAGGGCCUGAGGUGGAAGCAGAAUUUGUGAGGAUUACUACUGCUCCACUUGUUCCAAGGCUUUUUGCACAACUUGACCAAUACACCAAUGACCAGCUCAUAAAAGUCUUCAAGAAAAAAGGAGGCGCUGCAGGGAAGAAAAUUAGACAAACUUUGGCUCCAGCCACAAAGGUGCGUUAUUCUGUUGGUAGCAAAAUAUUAUGGCUAAUAAGAUCACUUUCAAAUUUAAACAGCUAGUGUAUGGUAGCUGCACAGUGUACUUACAUUUAUAUUAAGCAAGACAAAGUUUGGUACUCAAAACUUUGGAAAAUUAAAAUUACCUAAACAUAAGUAAAAUCUGAUCCCUCAAUUUCAGGUUAAACCAUAAGUGAAUGUUUUUAUGUUAAAGAUCAGUUUUUGAAUGCAAAAAAGAUGAUGUAUUAGUUUGUCUAUACCUCCAUUAUGGACAUAUAUAAUGUGGUGGAAACCCUGCCCAACAGGUUAACUAUUCAUGUCCAUGUGAUGAUUAGUUGGUCUUGUGUAUAUGUCUAUCUGUGCAGUGGAUAUGUCAUUCAUUUUGCAUAUAAUGUGAGUUUGUGUCAUCCUAAAGUAUUUCUGUUUUCUCUUCCUGUAUCUCUGCCACUCUCUACGGAAGGAAACUAUUGAAAAGGGGAGGGAGUGUGUCCUCAGGGCACUACCUUUUUACCUGAAUGAAGACCCAACCAUCCUCUUCAAAGAAUAAUUGCUACAGCUACAGCUGUUCAGAGGGAGCUGGAACAAAUUACCCUUGCUAUCUUCACCAUCGAAAAAGCUGAUGUCAGCACUCCUCCAGCCGAUGUGGGUACAACCAUCUAGGGUGUUCUGCAUGACCUGGAAAACAUGGCCUCUGCAUGUGCACUCUUAAUGGGUGGGAUAUAUGCACUGAAUCGCAGUUAACCUCGAGACUGAAAGCUUUCUUUGAAGUACUUCAGAAGCUCUUCCUUCAUCUGUAUGUCAGCAGACUCUUGACCAAGGUACAGAUACUCAAGAAUAAACUGAAUGAAUAAGCCAAUCCUUAAUUUGGAUGAUGAAUGUUCUGUCAGAUGGACAGAAGUUUUUCGGAGGCUGAAUGGGAAUAAAACGGUAAUUUGUUGAAAAUGACAGAUAAAGGGAAAAUUACAUGUAAGAGAAAUUUUGAAAAUUUUGAAAAGUUUGUAAACUACUACAAUUUGAGAGAUUUUACUCUUGGGGUGGGGGGGGGGGGGCUAGUAAGAGACAAUCAAAAGUAUUGAGAUUUAAAGGAUUUAAGUGAGAGAUGAUACUGCACCAGAAAUGUUGAAGGGUGGUGUGUAUAUUAGCGUUCAAGGUAUAUUGUUAUGAGGUGGAAAUAUGUUCAUAUUCUGUUUGUGUUACAUUGUGUGCAUUGUAAAGGUAAUUGCAAUACAUACUAAGAAUAAGGGUAAGUUAGGAAUGCAGGAUGAAUGUAUAUUUUGCAGACUUUUAAAGACGAACAAUUGUUUCCAUGUUGAAAUGUUUACAACCCAAGUUUUUGGCCCAAACACUGGUAAAAUAAACGUUGAGGGUGGCAAGUGUUAAAUGGUUACUGUUGUGCUGUUGCAAAAAAACUGAACGCUGAAAAGCUGUUUUAUUGUUAGACCAUAAUGCUGGCAUGUUUUAUUAAAGUUUUAUUUGGGAUGGUGAUAUAAUUUUCUUUGAUUGCUAAUAUCAGUGGACUAUUUAUUGUUAUUAUUAUUAUUAUUAUUAUUAUUACAACAUUAAUUUUUUUUAAUUGUGGCUGUUGAGGUGGACACUUCACUUUGCAUUGUUAAAGGAAAGCACUUCAUUGGCGUUGUGUUACUGGACUGACCCUAAGCAAUCAUUGCAAAUAGCAACUUUGCUAUCCAUUUUAGACACUAGAAGAAAAAACACUCCACAGACCUUACUAGCAUCACAUGUGCAUAACUCAAGUGUCAUCUUAUCAACAUGUUAUGUGGUCUUCAAUGUUUUUUUCUUCUAUUUCUGGCAGAUACAGACAUUUAAUUUAAAGUCCUGAUGUUGCAUCUGUCUACAUACUGUUAGUUACUAACCCUAAUGACCUGUUGUGUUUUAUUUUGGACUGGGUUUACACAAAUGUUCACUGAAUGUGUUGGCAAUAAACGAAAUUUAAAAAAAUAAGUUGGAUGUACUUAAUUCAUUUGUGUGGAACCUGUUGACAAAAUAGAUUUAUGUAAAACUAAUUAGUAAAGCACAAGGUGGCUGAAAAUAUAAUAUUUGAAUUAAUCUAACUUAAAU